rnacentral:rRNA from 1 species
UACGAAGGGGGCUAGCGUUGUUCGGAAUUACUGGGCGUAAAGCGUGCGCAGGCGGCUUCUCAAGUCAGGGGUGAAAGCCCAGAGCUCAACCCCGGAAUUGCCUUUAAGACUGCAUCGCUUGAAUCCGGGAGAGGUGAGUGGAAUUCCGAGUGUAGAGGUGAAAUUCGUAGAUAUUCGGAAGAACACCAGUGGCGAAGGCGGCUCACUGGACCGGCAUUGACGCUGAGGUGCGAAAGCGUGGGGAGCAAACAGG